GCGACGGGUGAGUACACGUGGGCAAUCUGCCCUUCACUCUGGGACAAGCCCUGGAAACGGGGUCUAAUACCGGAUAACACUCUGUCCCUCAUGGGGCGGGGUUAAAAGCUCCGGCGGUGAAGGAUGAGCCCGCGGCCUAUCAGCUUGUUGGUGGGGUAAUGGCCUACCAAGGCGACGACGGGUAGCCGGCCUGAGAGGGCGACCGGCCACACUGGGACUGAGACACGGCCCAGACUCCUACGGGAGGCAGCAGUGGGGAAUAUUGCACAAUGGGCGAAAGCCUGAUGCAGCGACGCCGCGUGAGGGAUGACGGCCUUCGGGUUGUAAACCUCUUUCAGCAGGGAAGAAGCGAAAGUGACGGUACCUGCAGAAGAAGCGCCGGCUAACUACGUGCCAGCAGCCGCGGAUAAUACG
rnacentral:rRNA from 1 species